GUCGUUCUGGUUGCAGAUGACACGGUCUGAAUCUGAGAUCUUGAAAAGAAGAUAUAUUUCCACUGAGCUGUGGUGUCUUCCUUACAGUAAUUGCAAAAGGUUCUGAUAGAUGCCCUAAUUAAAUCAUGAGUCUCGAGCCAAGUUUCAAAAGGAAUCCAAUGAUUUAUUAGGAGCAACAUGCCUGCAUCUACUUCUGCCAUCACUGACACAUCAGGAUCUUAUAGGGCUUCUGAGUUCCUUGGAGGAUCUGAAGUUGGACAGCAGAGGAGUCGCCUGGUAGAGUAAUGUUUGUGUUUACACAAUGAGCAAGUGAUCACGCUUGAAAUUCUGGUCACUUCACUUUGAAGACGGUUGCAGAGUUGGAAAACGACAAUUCAAAUUCUUCUCAAAGGAAAGAUUACAAUGCAGCGGUUUCCAACAUUUGGGGCAUCAGGGACCACUUCCGUGGAAAGAGAUUUUUCCAUGGACCGGAGGACCAAAGGACAGUUUCACGUGUUACCUACAUCCCACGGAUUGGGCUUUGUUUGUGUGGACUGGUUACUGGCAUACCACUGACCAGUGGCGGGGUUGCGGAUCCUUGUCUUACAGGACUUGAAGAAGCCUGUUGUGUUUCGUCCAAUCUCACCUCAGCCGGGGUCUUCUUAUCUGCUUCCGAACACGGAGGAAUGUUCUAGUAUGCCUCCCGGCCCCAGCCCUGGCUCCAUGCCCAGACAGGCUGAAGUGGAAGAAAUACCUCCAGCCCCCAGCUCUGGCUCCAUGCCCAGGCAAACGGAGCAACUAGACCCCUCCCCCUCCUCCACAGCAUGUGAGCCUGAGGAAGGUCAAUUGCCAACAGCUGCCGACUGGAGUGACCCUCGCGUCAGAAGACUUGAUAGGCGGAGGCAACAGAAGGAAGGGAGGGGCAGGCCUGGAUAAGUGCUGAGUCAUGGAGCCACACCCCAUGGCCUAUAUAAAGGAUCUGCUUUCUGGCAUUCUCUGAGUCAAGCAAAGUCUAAACAUAUCUUGCUGAAGUCACUUUCUGGUCUCCUGCCUGCCCUGAGGACUUUGCUAGGACUUUGGCAGAGCUGCAGAGGCACACCUGAUUCGGAUUUCCCUGACCCGGCCGUCAGCGGAGGAGUGGGACACGACAAAGCCACAAAUCACUAUCUAAACUAACUUGUUGCUGUGAUUUGAUUCCACCUCUUUUUUUCUUUCUCGCGAAGCACACCUCUGUUCUGAAGUCGCACGGCAGUCUUAUCACCUCCCAUUGGCUGCCUCUCAAUGACGACAGCAGUGUAUUUGCAGUGCAGUUUUCAGUGCCAAUUUUAUGCAGUGGAUUGAAAACAAUCUCCAUGGAUGUUCAAGCUUUCUACAUCAAUGCUGAAGGGGGAGAAGUGAUCUAAUGCAGAACAUAAACUUUGUCUCUCUCGCUGUCCAAGAUUCUUGGAUCGGGUAGAUCAUGCCAGGAUGGUUCUUUUGAUUCCUUCAGCAUGUUCUUGCACAUUGUGUGCCAGGAAAUCUGCUCCCUGUACCAAGCAAGUCGGGCAGUGUAAAGUCAAGAUGGGGCACAAGAAGCAAUCGCACGCGUUGUCAGUGAAACGGAGUUGGCAACGGUCUAAUUAUACUGCUAGAUUAUAUGAACUGCCAUCCUGUUCUGACUCUGAUAGGAAUCACUCUUGAUUGUAUAGCUUUGAGGGAAUAAAUUGUAUCGAAACUCGUUCCAGGAAAAAAGAACAAUAACCCUAUGACACCAUACUCUAGGGAAAGGAUGUGCAUCUUACCGCCUCAGGGCCACAUGUAUUACCCAUUGACUGUACUGCCAAAUUUGUUCCUUAUUGUGUUGAAAUGGAAAACACAUGAAAGCUGUAAUAUAAACCGAAAGCAGCUUAAAAUCCGUCCUUCCUGAACAUCAGAAAAAAACUUUUAUCUGCAUGCAUGACAGAAUUCUAGUUUCUUCUGGUUGUGGCCCAUCUCUUGUAGGCCUGGAUAGCAUUGGCCUACUCAUGCAGAAGAAGAGCAAAAGAAGGAGGGGAUGACAGAGAAUGAUAUGGCUGGAAGGAGUCACUGAAGCAGUUGGUGUGAGCUUAAAUGGACUCCAGGGGAUGGUAGAGGACAGGAAGGCCUGGAGGAAUGUUGUCCAUGGGGUUGCCAUGGGCCGGACACGACUUCGCGACUAACAACAACAACUCAUGCAUGUUGUUAUCAAAGUGAUUAGAUCUACUAACCCAAGUCAAGUACAAAUUUGCAUCUAGGAAAGAGGAGAAACCAGACAGGAAGUAGCUUUCCGGUCCUGUAAGAGAAGAUCUGCAUAUCUUACUUGAUAGAAUAUAAUAGAAUAAUAGAGUUGGAAAGGACCUUGGAGCUCUUCUAGUCCAACUCCCUGCUUAGGCAGGAAACCCUACACCACAUGUGCAUCAAACAUCUGGGAUUAGAACAGGAGUGUCCAGCCUUGAUAACUUUCAAGAACUGUGGACUUCAACUCCCAGAAUUCCCCAGCCAGCCUUUCUGAGAUUUGAAGAUCACAAGUCUUAAGGUUGCCAAAAUCAGAUACCCCUGUAUUAGAGGUUAGAACAGGGGGCGGGAUUUAGUUGAUCUCAGAAAAACUAAACAGGAUUGGAUCUAAUCAGUAGUUAGAUUAUCACAGGUAUAGGCUUCCCUUAGGCAUUAUUGCAAUCAUGCAAAGCUAGCCUAUAAGAAAGAAAUCCCUUUUUGGGGAGGGGACAAUCUGGGGCUCACUGGAAGAAUGUAUCCUUUGCAAAAGUUUCUGGGUCCAGCUUUUAGUAAGUAAGCAGAACCUAAAAGGACUCCUGGCUGAGAAUUGGAGAGCUGCUCCUACUUUAUGUCAACCAUGCAAAGGUACGUAGGGAUAAAACAACACCCUACACUGAAUUGGGCUCCAGAAAUACAUGUUUUAGAGUUCUGUGACUCUUUUUUAAAAAAUCCCCUACUCACACAGAAUCAAAGGUUUCUGACAAAAAGUUUAAACUCUGAUAUCUGUCUUUUUGGGGAGGGGGAGCAAAGCCAAUAGUCUAGGGUGGCAGUUCUGCACAAAUAUGGAUGUUUUUUGUGUGGUUUUCCCUUAGAAUUCCUGGAAGUUGAGCAAUCCUACCCUGAGAGAUGAUAGACUUGGAUUUCUGAGUAAACCCUCCCCUGAGCUUUGAGAAUGUCAUCAUAAACAUACAUCAAGCUGAAAUGAAUCAGAGGAAACCAUUAAAAGUAAAAAAAAUAUAAUUGAAUAGAAACAAAACUCUCUAGUUUAAUUCUAUGCCAGGCAACUUUCAGACCACUGUAGGAAAGGAAGGAAAAGGACUUGGCAAUUUUAUUUUGUUAAAUUAACUUUAUUUUACUCUUUUAAGAUGUUUGCAUCAGUUUUUGCGAAUAUUUAUGAAUGGCCUUGGGUGGUUGGGUAUUGUGGAAUUAAAAAUGAUGGAGGCCAUUUGCUUUUCUUCUUUGUUAAAUCUUAAUUACAAGAUUGAUCACUUCUCUGGUAAUUGGUUUCUGAAUGGGACAAUGGCCUACAUCUCUUUUUGAAACGGCCUCUUUGUUGUAGCUGAAUGGUUUUUGGAAUGGAAUGGAAUGGAAUGGAAUAGAAUAGAAUAGAAUAGAAUAGAAUAGAAUAGAAUGGGGUGAAAUGCUACUGGUUUGCUCCAGUCCAGGUGAACCGGUAGUAAAAAGUGCUUUAAAAAGUAAAAAAAAGGUUCCGAUGAUCACAGCUGUGUGGCGUGAUCGACGGAACCUUUUUAAAAAAACUUUUUAAAGCAUUAUUUUACUACCUAUUCGCCUGAACCAGUAGUAAAAAAAAAAUGCUAAAAGGUAAAAAAAAAGAGAGGUUCUGACUGACAGCUGAUUGACAAUUUUAAAGCGUUUUUUUUACUACCUAUUUGCCCGAACCUGUAGUAAAAAAUGCUUUAAAAAAGUAAAAAAUCAAUCAGCUGUGCUGCGUGA